UCUCUAACUCUCUAUGUACUUCCGCUUCUACUAGUCUAGGGUUACAACUAGUGGGAGUUAGGGUUUCCUUAAUUAUUGAUUCAAUUCGGAGAAUUAGGGUGAAAAGCCCUCGAAUUUGAUUUUGUUCUGCCCUGGAAUUUGUGGGUUUUUGUGAAAUUUUGUUUUGUUAUUUAUUGGGUUGUAAAAGGAUAAGCAUGUAGUAUUUUUUGUGAAGUAAUUUUAGGAUUCUUUGUGUGUACAUUUGUCUGACUUUUUGCUGUGGGAUUGAAGGAAGAAUUGCAAAGAACAAACUUGGAGCUGGAUUCAUACAAGGAAAAGAUAAAGGAGAAUCAGGAAAAGAUUAAGCUCAAUAAGCAGUUGCCCUACUUGGUCUGCAACAUUGUUGAGAUAUUAGAAAUGAAUCCAGAAGAUGAAGCUGAGGAAGAUGGGGCAAACAUUGAUCUUGACUCACAAAGAAAGGGCAAGUGUGUUGUUUUGAAAACAUCUACUCGUCAGACAAUCUUUCUACCUGUUGUUGGGCUUGUUGACCCUGAUAAAUUAAAGCCUGGAGAUCUUGUUGGUGUGAACAAAGAUAGUUACCUGAUCUUGGAUACUCUGCCAUCCGAGUAUGAUUCUUGAGUGAAGGCUAUGGAGGUUGACGAGAAACCAACUGAAGAUUACAAUGAUAUUGGAGGGCUAGAG